rnacentral:rRNA from 1 species
CGGGCUUGAACUACAGGAGAAUGAUUCAGAGAUGAUGAAGUCCUUCGGGACUCCUGUGGAGGUGCUGCAUGGUU